UACACCGCAAGCACGCGCGACUAUCCGCGCGUCAAGCAGCCAUACCAUGCAUACAUGCGUACAGACAUCUGUACAGACAUGGAUACAGACAGAACUACAUACAUACAUACAUAGAUACAUAUAGGCAGGUGGCUGGCAGAAGUUAAGGCCUGACUUCUGCUCCCGUAGGUUGCGGGUUCAAAUCCGCCUGCCGACCUCUCGGUGUGUGAAUUUGGAGGUGGGCCCCCAUCUUGUGGACGGUGUAGGACGUGAUAAUAUCAACUUGCGCGCUGACCAGGAACUAAGUUGAGGCGCCGUUGAUCCGCUAGAUUUGGUUGGAUGCUGGUGGUGAGUUGCCGAACCCAACGAAUACAUUCCGAAGUCGGAUGGGGUGAAUGGAUUAGGGUGCCUAUCUCGCAGGGGAGCGCAGGGAACUGCCUCCUAGGGAAAGGGGGCCGCUGGUGAAGGUAUACCACCCUGUAACAACAUACGAACAUACAUACAGACUGACAGCGACCUACCUUGCAGGCCGCGUCGAUGGCGGCUCCGGCCACCUGAAGGGCGGCCGCCUCC
rnacentral:lncRNA from 1 species